rnacentral:rRNA from 1 species
UACGAAGGGGGCUAGCGUUGUUCGGAAUUACUGGGCGUAAAGCGCGCGUAGGCGGCCCUGUAAGUCCGUUGUGAAAGUCAAAGGCUCAACCUUUGAAAGCCGAUGGAUACUGCAGGGCUAGAGUCCGGAAGAGGCGAGUGGAAUUCCUGGUGUAGCGGUGGAAUGCGCAGAUAUCAGGAGGAAUACCGGUGGCGAAGGCGGCAUCCUGGACUAACACUGACGCUGAGGCGCGAAAGCUAGGGGAGCAAACGGG